AGCGAACGCUGGCGGCAGGCCUAACACAUGCAAGUCGAACGAACUCUUCGGAGUUAGUGGCGGACGGGUGAGUAACACGUGGGAACGUGCCUUUAGGUUCGGAAUAACUCAGGGAAACUUGUGCUAAUACCGAAUGUGCCCCCCGAUUCAUUUUGGGGUGGGAAAGAUUUAUCGCCUUUAGAGCGGCCCGCGUCUGAUUAGCUAGUUGGUGAGGUAAAGGCUCACCAAGGCGACGAUCAGUAGCUGGUCUGAGAGGAUGAUCAGCCACACCGGGACUGAGACACGGCCCAGACUCCUACGGGAGGCAGCAGUGGGGAAUAUUGGACAAUGGGGGAAGCCCUGAUCCAGCAAUGCUGCGUGAGUGAUGAAGGCCUUAGGGUUGUAAAGCUCUUUUACCAGGGAUGAUAAUGACAGUACCUGGAGAAUAAGCUCCGGCUAACUCCGUGCCAGCAGCCGCGGUAAUACGGAGGGAGCUAGCGUUGUUCGGAAUUACUGGGCGUAAAGCGCACGUAGGCGGUUAUUCAAGUCAGAGGUGAAAGCCCGGGGCUCAAUCCCGGAACAGCCUUUGAAACUAGAUAACUAGAAUUCUGGAGAGGUCAGUGGAAUUCCGAGUGUAGAGGUGAAAUUCGUAGAUAUUCGGAAGAACACCAGUGGCGAAGGCGACUGACUGGACAGAUAUUGACGCUGAGGUGCGAAAGCGUGGGGAGCAAACAGG
rnacentral:rRNA from 1 species